UACGUAGGGUGCAAGCGUUACUCGGAUUUACUAGGCGUAAAGCGCGUGUAGGCGGAGUUUUAAGUCCAUCGUGAAAGCUCCCCGCUCAACGGGAAGGGUCGAUGGAUACUGAAACUCUCGAGUGAGGCAGGGGGAACCGGAAUUCCCGGUGUAGCGGUGAAAUGCGUAGAUAUCGGGAGGAACGCCGAAGGCGAAAGCGGGUUCCUGGGCCUAUACUGACGCUGAGACGCGAAAGCUAGGGGAGCAAACAGG
rnacentral:rRNA from 1 species